GGGGAAAGGGGAAGGCCGUGGGGAAGGGAGUGAGGAUGAUGGGGAAGAAUCAGGUAGGUCUUGGGAAUUUGGGUAAUGAGAUUUGUGUCCCCGAAGGAAGGAGGAGAAAGGGGAAUGGCGUGGGAAGGAUGGGGAAGGCGUAGGGAGGUGUGGCGACGCUGGGGAAGGGCGUGGGGAAGAUGGGGAAGAAUUGGGUAAGUGUUUUGAGAUUGGGUAAUGAGAUUUGUGUCCCCGAAGGAAGGAGGAGAAAGGGGAAUGGCGUGGGGAGGAUGGGGAAGGCGUAGGGAGGUGAAGGGAUGCUGGGGAAGGGUGUGGAGAGGGUGGGGAGGAUGGGGAAGAAUUGAGUAAGUGUUGAGAGUUUGGGUAAUGAGAUUUGUGUCCCUGAAGGAAGGAGGAGAAAGGGGAAUGGCGUGGGGAGGAUGGGGGAGGCGUAGAAAGGUGAAGGGAUGCUGGGGAAGGGCGUGGGGAAGAUGGGGAAGAAUUGGAUAGGUACAGGAAAGGAAGGUAAUGAGAAAUAUGCUUACGAAGGGAAGAGGAGGAAGGGGAAUGGGAUGAGGAGGAUGGGGAAGACGUGGGGAAGUGAAGGGAAGGUGGGGAGGGACGUGGAGAAGAUGAGGAAGGAAGGGAGUUGCUUGAGGAGGGUGGGGAGGACAUUAAAAGGUGAAGGGAAGGUGGGGAGGGACGUGAGGAAAAUGGGGAAGAAGUAGGAAGGUGUAGAGAGGAAAGGGAAGGGUGUGGAGUGCAUGGGGAAGCAUUAGAAAGGUUCAGGGAUGGUGGGGAGGGCGUAGGAAGGUGUAGAGGGGAAGGGGAAGGGUGUGGGGAGGAUGGGGAAGACGUAGGGGAAGGAAGGGGAGGUGUGAAAUCAACUGCGUACCUCUCCCUCAUCCCUUCCGUCACCUCUUCCGCCGCUACAGGUGAGGAGACUAACGAGACAGGCAGGACAGGUAAAGCAAUCACCAGCGGGAGGUAUGACAUCAAGGAGGAGGAGGAGGAGGAGGAGGAGGAGGAGGUUAUCAAAAUCACCACUAGUACCAACACCCUCAUCACCGUUCCUUCUACACUCCUCUCAUGCCCCUUCUUCUUCUUCGUCUUCGUCUUCGUCUCUUCUUCUUCUUCUUCUUCCGCCCGUCGCCCCAAGGUUCCCAGGGUUCCGAGGCCCCUGGAGGAGGUUCUGUCGGUGGGCUUCGAAGCGUCAGCGGCAGAGGAAGCAUCGUCGCUGAAGGAACCCCAUGACGAAGGCGCUGAAGAAGGGGCUGACGAAGAGGCUGACGAAAGGAUUAAAGAUGGUGCCGACGAAAGUACUAACAAAGGAACUGAAGAAGGUGCUGAAGAAGGGGCUGAUGAAGAUGCUGAUAAAGAUGCCGUUGGAGAAGUUGACGAUGAUGCUAACGAAACUACUGACGGAGAUGCUGACGGAGUGGCUGACGGAGGGUGGGACUGACGGAGAUGCUGACGGAGUGGCUGACGGAGGGUGGGACUGACGAAGAUGCUGACGGGAAACUAUUAUCUUGUGUUCUUGAUGAUGAUUUAUAAGUAGCAGCGGCAGCAGUAGUAGCAGUAGUAGAAGUAGGUGGAGGGUAGACGAAGGUGAAGCUAACCCAAAGAGGAAGAAGGGAGACAGAAAAGUAGGAGGAGGAGAAGGAGUAGGGGGAAGAGGAGGAGGAGGAGAAGGACAAACAGGUAAAGGAGAAGAAUUAGGGAGAGGAAAAAUCACAGGUAUAUCCUUACAGGUGUGUCGAAAGGUUACACAACACCUGAGGAAUGCUAGUGGUGGUGGUGGUGGUGGUGGAGGGGAUGGGGAUAAAAGUGGUGGUGAUGGGUCGUCUUCUAGUGGUGGUGGAGAUGACAGCGCUGGUGUUGAUGGUGGUGGUGGUGGUGGUGUUGACGGGUUUACUGGUGGUGGUGGUGGUGGUGAUGAUGGUGUUUUCUCUCAUCAUAACACCUGAAACAAAAAAAGAAAAUGUGAGAAUGUAAAGAUGUGGUUUCAAGGUCAAGGAAAAGAAAGUGAAAGGAAAAUAAAGAUAUAAAGAAAAGGUCAAUAAAUAAAUAAAUAAAACUAGAAAAAAAAAGAAAACUCCAGGUAAAGACAAAUUAGAGGAAAAAGAAAAAAGGUGAAAUAAAGGAAAAGAAAAGGAAGUGAAAGGAAAAUAAAGAAA